AUAAGAUUUUUGGGUACUCGAUCAUCAAUUUUUUAUUGCAAUUUUUUUUAAUUGAUAGGGUGUUUUAUAAUCAUCUGGGUUCCUAUCUGCUGAGUAAGACAAAAAUUCCAUUCAAAGAUUCUGUUUUUUCUAUAUAAAAAUUAAGAAAAAUGAGAAUUAAAUUACAUAAGUGAUGAACUGUAUUUGGUAUCAAAACCUUUACAAAAAGAAAAACUUUGGAAAAUUUUCAAAAAUAAUCUUUUUUAUAAUAUAUUUUAUUUAUAAUAUUAAAGCUUAAAAAUUUCAUAUAUAAUAAAUUUUUACCUUUUCCAAUUUUUAUUUUUUUUUCGUUUUUACGUUUUCAUUUUAAAAAUUUUACUCCUAUAAACCUUUAUUUUUCGUUUGAAAAAAAAAAAACCUUUAUUUUCAUAAAUAUAUCUUUAUUUUAAUUUUUCUUGCUGAAUUAGUCUUCUCGGAACUUGGGUGCCUGCCUUCUGCGACUUGGGCUAGAGCAAAAGAAUGUUAACCUUUUGGCCUCACUCGAUCGACCUCAACAUCAUGGCCGCCGUGGCCUGUGAACUCCCGUUUGGUUUGAAGAGGCAACAUAGCGUUGAGUACUGGAUCUGAAAUGGCUGACGCAUUUUUUGUGCCCUUCUUUUCCUCUUUGAAUUUUAAUACUCAUGGCCAUAACAUGAGUACUGAUCAGGUUGAUCGUCAAUUGCAGGUUGUGUUGGUUUUGGUAUUGGCUAGAAGUUCUCCUUGGUAAGCUAUUUGGAGGGGACAACGGUACUUAAGGAUCUAAUUCAGAAGGAUAACAUUACUAUAUAAGAGGCUUUAUCUCAAUGGUAUUGGCUUACAACCCAUGUCAAUUUUACCAAAGGAAUGGUAAUUUUUCCAUUAUUUUUGAUACCAUACAAUCGAGAAUUAGCAUUCUUCUAGUUUACAACAUAAAUGUAAUCUCAAUAAUAAAUUUUAGUGUUCAAAUAUAUAAUUUCAAUUGAUUUUUCAAAAUGUGUUCAUUUUUAUUUUUAAAAGGAGAUUUUGUCAACUGUUCAUGAUAUUAUGUGAGAUCUUUUUUGGUUAUACGAUAUAUAUGUAUGUAUAUAUAUGAUAUAUGUGUAUAUAUAUGUAAUGUGUUUAUAUAAAAAAUUAAAUAUUGACAUCCUAAUGAAUUAUGUUAUGUGAUUUUAUAGUUAAUGGUUUGAAGUCAAUUCAGGUGAGUGAGUGCAGCAAAUUUGGAAAGGUUUUGGGAUUGGGUUAAUAUGCUAUUGGAGAGUUGUUUUUGGCAGUGACAUUAUAUCAAGUAUUGUAUAAAUUUUUGUUAAUGAACAAAACAAAUAAUAAAAUGCAAAAUCAGAGUAAUCCUUCCUUUUUUAAUUUGUGAUUGUUAUCUUUCAAAUUAAAUAUAGUUUCGAAUAUGGAUGAUUAAAUUUGUUUUCCUAUCUUAUCACAAAUUUUGUAAUUUCAUAUUACUUUUUGUAAUUUUAUGACAUAAUAAUUUGUUAACUAUGUAUAAAUUUAUGAUGGGUGGGAGUCGUUAUUAAGGCUGAGGCUAUUCAAAUAAAUGGCGGGUGAUGAUGAAUGUAUUUUUUUUGGGUAAUGAUGAAUGUAUUUUGAUUUUGGUUAUAUUUUUUGAUUAAUUAAAGAUAGUAUUUUGAAUUUU